rnacentral:rRNA from 1 species
GACAGAGGGGGCAAGCGUUAUUCGGAAUUAUUGGGCGUAAAGGGCGCGUAGGCGGUUUUUUAAGUGAGAUGUGCAAUCCCCGAGCUUAACUUGGGAACUGCAUCUCAGACUGGAAGGCUAGAGUGCUGGAGAGGGUGGUAGAAUUCCACGUGUAGCGGUGAAAUGCGUAGAGAUGUGGAGGAAUACCAGUGGCGAAGGCGGCCACCUGGACAGUAACUGACGCUGAGGCGCGAAAGUGUGGGUAGCAAACAGG